rnacentral:lncRNA from 1 species
GCAAAUGAGAUCUCGCGCCAUCUCUCGACGCCUCGAAACUAUCUCGAUUCCGGCUAAUGCAGAACCACGGGGACCACUGGCAUCGGUGCUUGCAGAACGCAGGGGUUCUCACGUUCAACAACUUAUUCCAUCGAGUAUAGACUGAUCGGAGGAUAUAAGAGAGAAAAAAGAAAAACACGGAAGAAUAAACUAAAUAAAAUGAAAAAAGGAAUGAAAAGAAAAGGUUGAACAUGUCUGUAUAGAAUUUCGAUCGAACGAUUCGUUACGUCAGCCGGAUAAGACGUGAUCUACGAACGUCGAUAAAUCUUAGCGCUCGAUCGGCACGAAUCACCUCGCAAGCCUUAGAGAAGGGAAUGCCCGCGAAGGGCGAAGCCAUAAUUUCGUAUUAGAGGGUAAUCGCAAUCAGAAGAAUUUAAUCGAAUCGUCAAUCCGACGGAAGGAAAUAAAUAGACAAAAAAGGAACAUAGAAAAAA